rnacentral:misc_RNA from 1 species
AACGCACAUUGCACCUACUGGCAUUCCGGUAGGUAUACCUGUUUGAGCGUCAGCAAGACAACUUUCGGCCGGUCUUUUCGGACCGGUACCGGUUAUGGGCUUUGGGGGGAAGGAGCUCCGUCUCUCUCCGGCUUUAAAACUGCUGUACGACCGCAAGCUAAUUCCGGCUAGGUUUAUGGAUUGGUGUUUACAUGUCUUCCGUUGCCUGCGGGACAUAUCGCUUCAGCGGCGUUAAACGUUAAGUUGCCAUGUCGGUGACUUGUGGUUUGACCUCAGAUCAGGUAAGGAUACCCGCUGAACUUAA